rnacentral:rRNA from 1 species
CAUGGUCGAUCCUUCCAGUAGUCAUACGCUUGUCCCAAAGAUUAAGCCAUGCACGUCUCAGUACAUACCGAAUCAAGGUGAAACCGCGAAUGUCUCAUUAAAUCGGUUAUGGUUCCUUAGAUCUUACCCAAAUUUACUUGGAUAACUCUGGUAAUUCCAGGGCUAAUACAUGCAAACCAGAGUUCCGUCCAGAUAUGGUGGGAACGCUUUAAUUAGAUCAAAACCAAUCGGUGGCGGAUGGCUUGCUGUUCGUCCAUCGUUUGCUCUGGUGACUCUGAAUAUAUGUGUGCUGAUAGUAUGGUCGUCUAGCACCGUCGACGCAUUUCUCAAAUAUCUGCCUUAUCAACUGUCGAUGGUAGGUCCUGCGUCUACCAUGGUUGUAACGGGUAACGGGGAAUCAGGGUUCGAUUCCGGAGAGGGAGCCUGAGAAACGGCUACAACAUCGAAGGAAGGUAGCAGACGCGCAAAUUACCCACUCCCGGCACGGGGAGGUAGUGACGAAAGAUAACGAUACGGGACACAUCCGAGGCCCCGUAAUCGGAAAGAGCACACUUUACAUCCUUUAACGAGGACCAAUUUGAGGGAAAGUCUGGUGCCAGCAGCCGCAGCAGUUCCAGCUCGAAUUGCGUAUAUUAAAGAUGUCGCGGUUAAAAGUCUCGUAGUUGGACCUGUGUGACACGGUGUCGGUUCACCGCUCGCGGUGCUUAACUGAUAUUACGUGGUACGUCCUAUCGGUGGGCUUAGCUCCUUUCGGGCGUUAGAACUAAUAUCCAAUCGCUGUGUUCUUUAACGGGUGUCGAGUUGGGCCAACACGUUUACUUCGAGCAAAUUAGUGUGCCUAGAGCAGGCUACCGUCAACUGAGUAUUCUGUGCUUGGUAUAUUGGAAUAGGACUUGGGGUCUAUUUUGUUAGUAUUCGGAACACCGAGGUAAUGAUUGAUAGGGACAGAUGGGGGUAUCUGUAUUGCGACGUUAGAGGUGAAAUGAUUGGGUCGUCGCAGGAAAGACAGAAUCGAAAGCAUUUGCCAGAAAUACUUUCGUUAACCAAGAACGAAAGUUAGAUGUUCGAAGGCGAUUAGUCCUAACCGCCUCAGUUCUAACCGUAAACGAUGCCGGCUAGCGAUCCGCCGAAGUUCCUCCGAUGACUCGAGGACAGCUUCCGGGAAACCAAAGCUUUUGGGUUCCGGGAAUGUUUGGUUGCUAAGCUGAAACUUAAACGAAUUGAUGGAAGUGCGCCACCAGGAGUGGAGCCUGCGUCUUAAUUUGACUCAACACGGGAAGUCUAACCAGACCCGGACACCGGAAGGACUGACAGAUUGAUAGCUCUUUCUUGAUUCUGUGGGUGGCGGUGCAUGACUAUUCUUAGUAGGUGGAGCAAUUUGUCUGGUUAUUUCUGAUAACGGACGAGACUCUAGCCUGCUAAAUAGACGUAACUUAUGGUAUCUCAAGGGCACCCGGCUUCGGUCGGUGUGGUAUCACUACCAACGUACAAACGGACCUUCUUAGAGGAACAGGCGGCUUCUAGCCGCAAGAGAUUGAGCAAUAACAGAACUGUGAUGUCCUUAGAUGUUCUGGGUCGCACGCGCGCUGCACUGAAGAAAUCAACGUGUUCUCCCUGCCCGAAAGGCCCGGGUAGCCGCAGGGCCGCCUUCGUGCUAGGGAUUGGGGCUUACAAUAAUUCCUCGUGAAUGAGGAGUUCCCUGUAAGCGCUAGCCACAAGUUCGCGUUGAAUACGUCCCUUCUGUUUGCACACAACGCCAGUCGCUACUACCGAUUGAGUGGUUUAGUGAGGUCUUCUGCGUGGUGCGCGGCCAAUGUCUCGGCAUGGCCGAUGUUACUGGGAAGAUGGCCAGACUUGAUCACUUAGAGGAACUAAAAGUCGUAACAAGGUUUCCGUUGGUGAACCAGCGGAAG